AGCAGCCGCGGUAAUUCCAGCUCCAAUAGCGUAUAUUAAAGUUGUUGCAGUUAAAAAGCUCGUAGUUGAAUUUCGAGAUCAGUACGCUGGUCGUGCCUUCGGUAUGCACUGGUGUCACUGGUUUCUCCCUUCUGAAGAACCGUUAUGUCAUUAAGUUGGUGUGGCGGGGAAUCAGGACUGUUACUUUGAAAAAUUAGAGUGUUUAAAGCAGGCUCGCGCUUGAAUACAUUAGCAUGGAAUAAUGAAAUAGGACGUUUGACCCUAUUUUGUUGGUUUCUAGGAUCGACGUAAUGAUUAAUAGGGAUAGUUGGGGGCAUUAGUAUUCAAUUGUCAGAGGUGAAAUUCUUGGAUUUAUUGAAGACUAACUACUGCGAAAGCAUUUGCCAAGGAUGUUUUCAUUAAUCAAGAACGAAAGUUAGGGGAUCGAAGACGAUCAGAUACCGUCGUAGUCUUAACCAUAAACUAUGCCGACUAGGGAUCGGAUGAUGUUAAUUUUUUAAUGACUCA
rnacentral:rRNA from 1 species